UACGAAGGGUGCAAGCGUUAAUCGGAAUUACUGGGCGUAAAGCGCGCGUAGGCGGUCGGCUAAGUUGAAGGUGAAAUCCCCGGGCUCAACCUGGGAACUGCCUCCAAAACUGGCCGACUAGAGUACGGUAGAGGGUGGUGGAAUUUCCUGUGUAGCGGUGAAAUGCGUAGAUAUAGGAAGGAACACCAGUGGCGAAGGCGACCACCUGGACCGAUACUGACGCUGAGGUGCGAAAGCGUGGGGAGCAAAC
rnacentral:rRNA from 1 species